rnacentral:rRNA from 1 species
GAUGAACGCUAGCUACAGGCUUAACACAUGCAAGUCGAGGGGCAUCAUGACGAAAGCUUGCUUUUGUUGAUGGCGACCGGCGCACGGGUGAGUAACGCGUAUCCAACCUUCCCCUUAGUAGAGGAUAGCCCGGCGAAAGUCGGAUUAAUACUCUAUGUUCUUUCUGGAUGGCAUCUGAUGGAAAGCAAAGGUUCACCGCUAAGGGAUGGGGACGCGUCUGAUUAGCUUGUUGGCGGGGUAACGGCCUACCAAAGCAACGAUCUGUAGCCGGCCUGAGAGGGCGGACGGCCACAUUGGGACUGAGACACGGCCCAAACUCC